CGGCGACCGAGCCAACGCCGCCAUCGCCCCGGCUGCCGCUGCCUCGGGAAGCGAGAAACGAAACUCGGGCUGGGGCUUUCCGGGAAUAUGCGUGCCCUGUCCCCGCCCCGGCGGGAGGGGCGGCAGCCCCGGACCGGCCCCCGGCAGCGCCCCGGGACCCGCCCGCCCGACGGGCGGCAGCGGCGGGCCGGGCAGCGCCGGGGGAGCCGGGCCGGGGGGGGGGGGGGGGGGGGGGGGGGGGCUCCGGGCGCCGCCGCCCUCCCCGCCGGGGCCGUGGGUGGCUGCAGGGCGGCUGCCGUGACUCGGGGGGAGGCAGCAGGGCCCCGCCGUCCCGCCGGAGGACCCCCCCGAGCCGGGGGGAGCCGCUGUGCCGCGGCAGGUCUCGGGUUUGGUUUGUAAAGCAAAGGGAAUGCCUCGGGACGCGAAGGCCCACCGGAGUGCCCGCCCCGCCGCGGCGGGAGCGCUGCCUGCCGGCCGCCCCGCUCCCCUCCCGGACGGGACGCGGAGACUCCGGAGGCUCCGGCAGCUGCCUGCGCUCUUCGCCGCUGCCCGCGAGCGUGUGCUUGAGGCCAGGCGAGCAUGUGAACCCCGGCUCUCACCGUGCGCCCGGCCAAGCUGCCGCCAGCCCCGGCUGCUGUCCUCCAAGCCACACUUAACCCGGCAGUUGAAGACCAAAGAAGCUGUUGUUGAUCCAGUAUUUGUAAGACGGGUUACUGCACUGUGAGUGUGGAAACUGCCUCAACAGAAGAUACUGGCUCAAUUUUUCUUUUUUUCCCUCUGUCUAACUGUUGAAUAAUUUCUGUUUCUACCACAAACAUCGGAUGCUGAAUAGCGAUGUGUGCAACUGCUCCUGUCUUAACUAACUUGACUCCAAAUUCUUCCAGUGGCCUCUUCUGCCCUGUCUGCUGGUGUCCCAGGGACUGCCUCAGUGCCCUCCAGGCUUCUCCACUGACACCGGCAGCAUGGAUGAAAUGGAGCAGCCUGGCACAAACCUGUGAUCCCCCCCGAAGUUAAACAGAGCCUGGUGGUCUGCAGCAGAAGCAGCCAUCUGCUCCCAACUGCAUUUCCAGUGGCCAAAGGACACUUAGUGUGGAGAACUGCUGGUGUUCCUUGUAAUGUCGUUAAAAAAGUAUUAGCAGGGAAUUGUGGGGUUUCUGUGUUGGCAUUAGACCUCAGAGACUUCAAAAAAUGUUCAGGAAUCAUAUAAAGCACUCAAAAGAGGCACUGGCGGUCUGUCAUAGUGCUUUUAAAGAAAUCCCUAGCCCAUCAUUUUGGAAGACUAAAUUAUAUCUGAGCAGUCUUUGUAAACCUACGUUACACAGAUAAUGUUGACUUCUACCUACAUCAGUGAUCUGCUCCUGUCUCGUAACACUCCUGCAGGAUGAACUGGGGAGGGGUCUCAUGUCACGGGCUUUAUUCACUCGGUGAUGGUGCAGAAAGGACAACAGGAGGCGUUCAGAGCUGCCGUGGCUUUGGCAGAGGAGCGCAAGUUCAGGGAUCAAGUGAAUGAAGCACUUCUUCCUGGGCUUAUCUGGACUAGGCCACGCCAUCUUUCAAAGGCUCAACAUCUUCCCUGUGUUUCCUGCAGCACUCAUCUGGUAUCUAACUCAUGCAGGCAAAGGUACUUGAGAACGUCUUCACGUGGUUCUGAACUAAAUCUAACCCUUUGCCCAGAUAUUGUGCGUUGAAAGCGCUGGAGUUGGAGCAGGAAGUCAGAAGCACAGCAGAACAAAUUGUGCCUCUCUACAUGUGGCUGAGCAAUCAUCAAGACACAUAUUCUGACAUUCUUUGACUUCUUUGGAUUUAAUAUUCCAAGCAAACUACCUCUGAAUGGCAACUAUACAGCUCCAGCCAAACCCAGAUGUUUAGAUGGAAUUACUGACAGUACAAGGUCAUAUUUCAUCUUUUUGAUUAAACCAUUCCAGUUCUGCAGCUCGCAGCUGUAGGAUAUAAAAUUGUUAUUAAGCUUCCAUUAAAAAAAACCCACAACACAGAUCUAUAUUAAAGACUUCCUAUAAUAAACAAAGUAUUCCAUAUUACAUAAAAACAUAUACUAAGAAAAAAGUGUUUCUUUUGGCAUAGUUUCUUUUUAAAACCAUUUAUUAAAAACACCCACCAGUGCAUCUGCUGCCCUCAGAACUAGAAGCCAGCAUUUCACAAAACAAGUCCGUACCAUUAUUUACAUUUGUUCACAUUAGAUUGUUCCAUUUUCAAUGCUGGAUCCGUUAACUGGAGGCUCAACAAUCAGUCUUGGCUCUAUCAGGGCAUCCCAACUUUCAGUUAUCUGAAAAUGAAACACAGACAAUAUCUGGCAUGUAUGAGCUAUACGGACCGAUGCAAUUUCUCCUGCAUUAUGCUUUGUUUAGACUUGAACAGCACUACCGAACGAAGAUCACAGAUCCUUCAUGUGAUUCGUCGAUCCUAGUGACCCUCAACCUGCCUGACAUCCUGGGUAAGGAAGGAGGCAGGAAAUGAAACCACAGUGGAGAUGAGUUACUGACUCCUCAUACUGACUGGACAAAUCUUAUUUUGUAAAUACCUAUGAGCACCUUCAGGACAACUCGCAAGUGUUAGACUUCUCAAUUUAAACAGACUUUUUAGGGAGGGAGUGAGGAGGGGAGGGGUGUGUUGAGAAGAAGCCCAAGGAAAUUAGAAAUACUCCUGAAACACAAACUGUGCCUCAGACUAGCUGUUUUCCAAGUGAUGCACAUGACAACAAGCAUUUGGUGUCCCAGGGUACGUACGUUGUUC